AGGAUAAAUAAAUAGUAAGCCGCUAACUUAACCUUUUAACGGUUCAAAUCCGUUAUUAUCCUUC
rnacentral:tRNA from 1 species